rnacentral:rRNA from 1 species
AGGGCGUAUGGGGGAUGCCUUGGCUCUUAGAGGCGAUGAAAGACGUGAUAAACUGCGAUAAGUUGCGGGGAUUGGUUGUACAAUUUGAUCCGCAAAUUUCUGAAUGGGGCAACCCACCCUACCUAUGUAGGGUAUCUCUUUAAUAAUAUGAGAGAAGCAAACCUGGAGAACUGAAACAUCUAAGUAUCCAGAGGAAAAAAAAACAAAUAGUGAUUCCAUAAGUAGUGGUGAGCGAACGUGGAUUAGCCCAAACCAUAGCAGUUUCGGCUGCUAUGGGGUUGUAGGACUAGCAAUACAAACUAAUAUUAAGAACUUAAAUUAUUUUGAAAAAAUAAGCCAUAGAAGGUUAAAGCCCUGUCAAGGUAAUUAAUAUUUGUUUAGUUAGUAUCCUGAGUAGGUCAGUCCCGGUGAAAGGCUGACUGAAUCUGCCGGCACCAUCCGGUAAGGCUAAAUACUCCUAAGAGACCGAUAGUGAACAAGUACCGUGAGGGAAAGGUGAAAAGUACCCUGAAUAAGGGAGUGAAAUAGUUCCUGAAACCAUACGCUUACAAGCAGUCGAAGUUUUUUUAAUAGAAUGACGGCGUGCCUUUUGUAUAAUGAGCCUAUGAGUUAAUCUUUUCUGGCAAGGUAAAUCCUUUUGAAAGGAAAAGCCGAAGCGAAAGCGAGUCUGAAUAGGGCGCUUAAGUCAGAGAAGUUAGACGCGAAAGCCGGUGAUCUACCCAUGGCCAGGUUGAAGCGUUGGUAAAACAACGUGGAGGACCGAACCAGUGGAUAUUGUAACGUCCUUGGAUGAGCUGUGGGUAGGAGUGAAAGGCUAAUCAAACCGGCAGAUAGCUCGUACUCUCCGAAAUGUUUUUAGGAACAGCCUUAAGUGUAUACUGAUAGGGGUAGAGCUACCGAUAGGACUAGGGGGGUAACCUACCGUGUCCAGACGAACUCCGAAUACUAUCAGUUUUGCUUAGGAGUGAGGGUUAGGGCGUUAAGGUCCUAAUCCGAGAGGGAAAGAACCCAGACCAUCAGCUAAGGUCCCUAAAUAUAUACUAAGUUGAACUAAGAAGGUUUAGUUGCUUAGACAGUCAGGAUGUUGGCUUGGAAGCAGCCAUUCAUUUAAAGAGUGCGUAACAGCUCACUGAUCGAGCGACAAAGCGUCGAUAAUGAACGGGCAUUAAGUAUAUUACCGAAGCUAUGGCCUUGCUGCUUUAGGUGGCAAGGGGUAGGAGAGCAUUCUAAUAAAGUUGAAGCUAAGUAGUGAUGCUUAGUGAAUUGAUUAGAAAAGAAAAUGUAGGCAUGAGUAACCAAAAUAAUGGUGAGAAACCAUUACACCGUAAAACUAAGGUUUCCAUGGCGAUGGUUGUCAUCCAUGGGUUAGUCGGGCCCUAAGCUGAAGCCAAACGGCGUAAGCGAUGGAAAAUCAGUUAAUAUUCUGAUACUAGCUAGCAAUAGAGAAGGGGGGACGAAGAAGUGAAAGGUCUGCCUUCUGACGAAUUUAGAAGGUUAAAGCCCGUAGAUAUAGGUAUGGCAGGCAAAUCCACCAUACUUGUCGAAGGUGAUAGUACUACAAUCCCUCGGGAGCGUAGAUAAUGACCCUAAUCAUACUUCCAGGAAAAGCCUCUAAUUGUUAGGUGCUAGCUAACCGUACCGCAAACCAACACAGGUAGUUGAGGAGAAUAUCCUAAGGUGUUCGAGUGAUUCGUGGCCAAGGAACUCGGCAAAAUAGCCCUGUAACUUCGGGAGAAAGGGUGCCUCAUUGAUCCUUUUACGAGGGUCAAUAGGCCGCAGUGAAAAGGCCCAGGCGACUGUUUACCAAAAACACAGGACUUUGCAAAAUCGAAAGAUGAAGUAUAAGGUCUGAUACCUGCCCGGUGCUGGAAGGUUAAUAGGAGGCGUUAAGUCGCAAGAUUAAAGCGCUCAAUAGAAGCCCCAGUAAACGGCGGCCGUAACCUUGACGGUCCUAAGGUAGCGAAAUUCCUUGUCGGGUAAGUUCCGACCUGCACGAAUGGGGUAACGAUCUGGGCGCUGUCUCAGCCACGAGCUCGGGGAAAUUGG